UACAUCUGACGGUUAGGAAGGGAUCCUCCGUGCGAAUUGACAAUCAUCGCUGGCGAGAGACGCUUGGCCGGUGCGAGAAACGCAAGGAAUUGCGCUCUCCAAAUUGCGCCUUCGCGACCGGAUUUGAAAAAAGAAAGAAAAGAAAUGAGAAAAGAUGAAACAAAAGACAAUGAUUCCCGUACAAGUAUGCGGGUGAUAUCGAGAAUUUUAGUCGAUGCUUUGCCAGUGACAAAGGAAAGGAACAAUAAGCGCUAUACAAGAAGAAGAAAGCAACACUUUUGUAAUCCGUCGUUUUUUAUUUUGCUAAAAAUCUACUGCGAUUGUGUCGUAACUCAUCUAACGUACAUGCUCGUUUCGCACUUCUACGUUAGAUUUACACUAUUGAAACGUAUAACCUUACAUAGCUUGGGACCGACAAUUUUAAUCGAGCGACUCGAACGUAUUAAAUUUACGCCGUAUUACGCGCGCAUCAAUCAGCGCGGAAACUUUAAUAUUCUAUUAUCUUCGAUUCCGUUCUGUUCUUCUUACAUUUCCUCUUGGCUGUUACCGCGCAACGCUGCAGAUCUCCUCUGAUGCGACGCCCAUCGGACAUUUGCUGGCGAAAUGACCAAACCGGUUAAACUUAAAAUACUUCGUGCCCUUGAUGGUAGAGCCGCCGAGUUAAGGGGCUGCUGGGGUGCCGCCGUUGGAAUAACUCCCGGUUUGUAUCGAUCCUGGAACAGGCGAAUCCAGAAAAGUUGCUUCUUCUUCCUCCUACAUUUCCUCGUUCAUGCACUCGUAUUUCGCCAACCUUCGUUUAUGUUCUUGAAUCGAUGUAAUGCCAUAGAGCAACAAUUGCUUGUUUAGUUCACCGGCUUAUCAUCUGUCCCCUCGAUGAUGUAUUUUAUAAGCGAGCUUUUACUCUUUUCAUUCCAUCCGCCAUUACACGCAUUCUAUAAACGUAUUUUCACGUUGUUCGUUGUUCGCCUAGUUAGUUUAGUUUUCGUCAGUUUCUUACGUUGCUCCAACUAUCUCGUAACGUUCCAAAGGUCUAAGUCCGAUGCAAAUUCCGUUUCAAGGAAUAUUAUUCUUAAACUGCCCCCAUGCUCUACUCACCCUUCAAAUCGAACAAAUAUUCGUGCCGAUCCCCUUAGUUAGUAACCUCUCACAAUUAAUUACCUCCUGAAAAUCUGUCCGACUAUGAAGAGUCAGCAUUACAACGAAUCGGGAGCAGUCGUGAACGUUAUCGUCGUUGCUUUAUCGGUCGAAUUGAUUCUUCUACAUCUCUGAUAGUGGAAACUUCCACCGACAGACUCAUCGUUCUGCCGUGGACUUGCUCAUCGGUGUCCGCGCCACUGUCCUCACUUUCGUCUUCUUUAUCUCUUCUCAUCGUUAAGGCAGCUUCUACGCGUUCCACCUACUCCUGAUAUCUUUCCUUCGUUCAUAUAGUCGUCUUCAGUUAUAGUCCCGCCUCUUCGAGUUGGCCUUUAAGUUCCGGAAUCGUCGUCUACUGCAGUCCCUCCGCUCGUCAGGUUAUUUUCGACAAUAGUGCGAGAAAGCUCUUCCUGACGACUCGCGGUAUUUGUAAUAAAAUCUCGUUUCUUUUUCAUUCAAAUCCGGUCGUCGUCGAAAUAUUUCACGGAUGUACUGACUCGGUGACUCAUCAGUUGCAGCUCCAGUAGAAUGGACAAACAACGACCACUACGGUUCAUUGUCGUCGAAUGUUCGCGAAUUAUUGUCAUGUCCAUCGAAAACAUAUUUUCGAAUAUAACGCAACGGAAAUGGACUUGCCAUGACAAUACUGCGCGCGUAUAUCUACACGCGACCGAGAAGAAGAUCUCAUUACUUCGUAAGGUAAUCAUUACUUAGGUACAAUAACGUCGUCUGAAUUGCCGCCAGCAACACCUCAGGAAACAAAUGAUCGGAACGAAUGUUGGAUCUGAGCGAGGGGAAGCGCACGGAGCAUCUACUAAAUUGCUCCAUCCACACCCGUAUUUAUAUGCAGCUCUUAAAAUCAUAGAUACGACAGAAAUAUUUGUAUACGCUAUAUUUUUUUCUAUUAUUUCCGUUUUGUUUCCGUCCUAUUUUGAUAAUACGAGAGCACACGUGGUAUUUCCACUUUUCGCACGAUGAUGAUGCCAACGAUGAUGAACCACUUGCAGGAACAGUCAGGCAUUUGGAGUUUUCCAAGAGGAUGCAUCGUCGAUCGUUUCUCGCUAUGCCUGCCAUGAUUGAAAUUAGAGAGUUAUAUCGACGUUUGUGUUGAGGGACAUCCAAUGUCGCGCCAUUAUUUCACCGUUCGAUUAGGACUCCCGACGCGAGAGUCAGAGGCGGCGAUGCGGACGAAGAAAAUCCUUCGAUCGAGCAUGUGAGAGGACCGCGCGCGCACUAUUCGAUACUUUUCUCUUCGACAGUGUCCGAUACUUUACUCGGUAAGGCGCACGAUGGCAGUAUGAUGGAAUGUAUGACUAAACUGUACCUAACGUGUGAAAAAGAUAAAUGCUACCUCGAGUACGGCUACGCUUCUUGUCCCGUGCGUCGUACAAUCAUCGCGAGGCUCCCAAGGGCGUCGUGCCUACGACAGAGCACCUAUCUCAACGUCGACAUCUAACGGCGGAUCAACCUUUGUAUAUAGAAACUUAUGAUUCCAAGCGUAGAACGUGUACGUACGAAGGAACGUUUUGCUUUCAGCAAGUAAAAAUUUGCUGACGUAAACUCUGAUCGAGUGCAUUGCAAAGACCGUAAUAUCUCGAUAACGUUUGUUUUCGUCUUCAUUCCUCACUUUCUCUUGAUUACGACUGCACGUAGGGACGGUGUAAAAAGUUAUACGGCUUCUAUAAUUUUCAAUUUAUUUGAUUAAAUUCACUAGUUGCUUUUACCGUUAAGUAAAGUUGAGUGUUUUACGGAAUAAUACAAUUUUUUUUAUUGAAUGAAUUAUAUUGCGUGUACAAUACGGUGAAAGGAAUCCUAAACAUAUCUAAGACAUAUCCUAUUAUUGUGAAAGCUCCUUCGUUUAUUGGUGUGAUGAUACUGAAGAUAUAUUCAACCAAAUUCUAAAUCCUAGGAAAGUAGGAAUUUUCACUCAUUGUGGCAUAUUUUAGUUAGGCACGAAAUUAUUUGUGAUUGCGGACGAUCCCGAAUCGAAUAUCGAGAAAAGUUCGAGAACUAUGAAUACGUAAAUGCUGCUCUUGGGAGUAGUUCGCUCUCUGCUCCAGGUAUACAUCGUUUAUUAAUAUAUAAUUAUUUAUGUUACAAAUAUAAAUAAAUUAUAAUUUUUUAAGUUAUAAUUUUUCAACGUAAUAUAUACAUACACUAUUACCAGAAAUGUUCUUUAAGAAAAUAGUGAUCUUCGCUGGAGCAAAAAAUAAAACUUUCAGGAACCGUGACCAGGACUUUUAACUUUUUCCUUUACAAGAUUUUUUUCCUAAGAAUCUCAUUGAUACGACUUAUAAAACGACGAGAAAUGGAUGGAAUUAUAUUAGCGUAAUGGAAUGAAUGUUUUUUUAAUAUCUUCUAAAAGAAUGCAAUAGCGUGAAAUGAAUAACCUACCAUGUACUUAUGUGUAUACGUUGUAAGUGGAGAAAGUACGGAAAUGGCUAAUUAUAUCAUAAAAUUUUGACGUAUCAAGAAAAUGGUUCUACGUCGUAGAAAAAAUGUGAACUACAAGGCGAGUCAAAAUGUCACGUAAAAUUUAAUUAUUUGAAGAAGGAACAUGAAGGAGAAAUUAAUUAAAACUGAAUGAAAAAACUGACGAAAAAAAUUCGUCGAACAAUUGGACAAACUAUCUCUAAUUAUAAAGGGAAGGAAAAAUAAUUAUUUCAUAACGAAAGUUGUUACCUUUCUGUUGUUACUAGAAGCGAUCAGUCAAGUAAUUACGAAAUAUAUGAGAAAUUAAUGAAUGGUAUUACGGACGUGUUUAUGGUACCUAGAUAACAUUACAACAAAUGUAGCCUUAGGCAAUACAUUUUUUAUAUUGUUUUAUUUCUUUGAACAUAAAAAUAAUUUAGUAUUUCAUUUUUGAGACACACACAUACACACAAUUUUUGUUCAUAGAGAUAAUCCAAGAAGAGAAGCAACCAAUGUUGAGAUGUAAAUUCAAUCGGGAAUUGAAAGAGGAAAGUGCAAAAGUUAUAUACCUUUGUUUACGUUACAAGAAGAAAAGCCAACAUUUCUCCUGGACUUUUUAUUCGAAUCAUUGCAUGAAGGGAGAAAAUAUGUGGAGCAAGAUAUUCGAGACGAAAUCAAUACGAUCGCUAUAAGUGGAAGCAAUACUUCAGUUACUGCCAUUAGCUUUGUACUUUUAAUGCUUGCUACAUUCCCUGAUAUUCAACUACGGACAUAUUACAUGUACUUAAUUAUUUGUAAUUAUUCAUAUAACGAAAAUUAUUUUUAUAUUACCU